CUCCUCCUGCUGCCGCUGCGCCCCAUCCCCCCGCGGCCGGCCAGUUCCAGCCCGCACCCCGCGUCGGUGCCCGCGCCCCUCCCCGGGCCCCGCCAUGGGCCUCACCGUGUCCGCGCUCUUUUCGCGGAUCUUCGGGAAGAAGCAGAUGCGGAUUCUCAUGGGUGAGGCAGAUCGAGCGCGCGGCCCGGACCGGGGCGCCGGCCCCGGCGCAGCCCUUCCGCCCCCGCGUCCCUCCAGCCCCGCUCACCUGGGUCUCUGGCCCCGAGUCACCCACCUCAUAACGCCCCGGGGCCUCUGCUCUCGGGCGGGUCCCGGUCUGCAUCGCCGACCCCGGGGCCUGACACCCGGAGCUGCGGGCCUGGGUGGGGUGAAGCUCCCUCCGCCCCAGCCCGGCUGUUGGCUUGGAUGCGGCUGGCAAGACCACAAUCCUGUACAAACUGAAGUUGGGGGAGAUUGUCACCACCAUCCCAACCAUAGGCUUCAAUGUAGAAACAGUGGAAUAUAAGAACAUCUGUUUCACAGUCUGGGACGUGGGAGGCCAGGACAAGAUUCGGCCUCUGUGGCGGC
rnacentral:sRNA from 1 species